ACGAACGCUGGCGGCGUGCCUAAUACAUGCAAGUAGAACGCUGAAGAGAGGAGCUUGCUCUUCUUGGAUGAGUUGCGAACGGGUGAGUAACGCGUAGGUAACCUGCCUUGUAGCGGGGGAUAACUAUUGGAAACGAUAGCUAAUACCGCAUAACAAUGGAUGACACAUGUCAUUUAUUUGAAAGGGGCAAUUGCUCCACUACAAGAUGGACCUGCGUUGUAUUAGCUAGUAGGUGAGGUAAUGGCUCACCUAGGCGACGAUACAUAGCCGACCUGAGAGGGUGAUCGGCCACACUGGGACUGAGACACGGCCCAGACUCCUACGGGAGGCAGCAGUAGGGAAUCUUCGGCAAUGGGGGCAACCCUGACCGAGCAACGCCGCGUGAGUGAAGAAGGUUUUCGGAUCGUAAAGCUCUGUUGUAAGUCAAGAACGGGUGUGAGAGUGGAAAGUUCACACUGUGACGGUAGCUUACCAGAAAGGGACGGCUAACUACGUGCCAGCAGCCGCGGUAAUACGUAGGUCCCGAGCGUUGUCCGGAUUUAUUGGGCGUAAAGCGAGCGCAGGCGGUUUGAUAAGUCUGAAGUUAAAGGCUGUGGCUCAACCAUAGUUCGCUUUGGAAACUGUCAAACUUGAGUGCAGAAGGGGAGAGUGGAAUUCCAUGUGUAGCGGUGAAAUGCGUAGAUAUAUGGAGGAACACCGGUGGCGAAAGCGGCUCUCUGGUCUGUAACUGACGCUGAGGCUCGAAAGCGUGGGGAGCGAACAGGAUUAGAUACCCUGGUAGUCCACGCCGUAAACGAUGAGUGCUAGGUGUUGGAUCCUUUCCGGGAUUCAGUGCCGCAGCUAACGCAUUAAGCACUCCGCCUGGGGAGUACGACCGCAAGGUUGAAACUCAAAGGAAUUGACGGGGGCCUGCACAAGCGGUGGAGCAUGUGGUUUAAUUCGAAGCAACGCGAAGAACCUUACCAGGUCUUGACAUCCCGAUGCUAUUUCUAGAGAUAGAAAGUUACUUCGGUACAUCGGUGACAGGUGGUGCAUGGUUGUCGUCAGCUCGUGUCGUGAGAUGUUGGGUUAAGUCCCGCAACGAGCGCAACCCCUAUUGUUAGUUGCCAUCAUUCAGUUGGGCACUCUAGCGAGACUGCCGGUAAUAAACCGGAGGAAGGUGGGGAUGACGUCAAAUCAUCAUGCCCCUUAUGACCUGGGCUACACACGUGCUACAAUGGUUGGUACAACGAGUUGCGAGUCGGUGACGGCGAGCUAAUCUCUUAAAGCCAAUCUCAGUUCGGAUUGUAGGCUGCAACUCGCCUACAUGAAGUCGGAAUCGCUAGUAAUCGCGGAUCAGCACGCCGCGGUGAAUACGUUCCCGGGCCUUGUACACACCGCCCGUCACACCACGAGAGUUUGUAACACCCGAAGUCGGUGAGGUAACCUUUUGGAGCCAGCCGCCUAAGGUGGGACAGAUGAUUGGGGUG
rnacentral:rRNA from 1 species